rnacentral:tRNA from 1 species
GGGGAUUUAGCUCAGUGGUAGAGCGCUCGCCUGGCAAGCGCAAGGCCCUGGGUUCGGUCCCCAGCUCCA